rnacentral:rRNA from 1 species
GGAUAGAGGCCUACCAUGGUGGUAACGGGUAACGGGGUGUUAGGGCACGACACCGGAGAGGGAGCCUGAGAAACGGCUACCACAUCCAAGGAUGGCAGCAGGCGCGCAAAUUACCCAAUCCCGACACGGGGAGGUAGUGACAAUAAAUAACAAUACGGGGUUCUUUCGGAUCUCGUAAUUGGAAUGAGUACAAUUUAAAUCUCUUAACGAGGAACAAAUGGAGGGCAAGUCUGGUGCCAGCAGCCGCGGUAAUUCCAGCUCCAAUAGCGUAUAUUAAAGUUGUUGCAGUUAAAAAGCUCGUAGUUGAAUUUCGGGGUUAGUAGGUUGGUCAUGCCUCUGGUAUGUACUGGUCUCACUGAUUCCUCCUUCCUUAUGAACCGUAAUGCCAUUAAUUUGGUGUUGCGGGGAAUUUGGACUGUUACUUUGAAAAAAUUAGAGUGUUUAAAGCAAGCUAACGCUUGAAUACAUUAGCAUGGAAUAAUGAAAUAGGACGUUCGAUCUUAUUUUGUUGGUUUCUAGGAUUGACGUAAUGAUUAAUAGGGAUAGUUGGGGGCAUUAGUAUUCAAUUGUCAGAGGUGAAAUUCUUGGAUUUAUUGAAGACUAACUACUGCGAAAGCAUUUGCCAAGGAUGUUUUCAUUAAUCAAGAACGAAAGUUAGGGGAUCGAAGACGAUCAGAUACCGUCGUAGUCUUAACCAUAAACUAUGCCGACUAGGGAUCGGAUGA